GGUGAUGUAUGAUGAUGAACACAAGAAAAUGGGAAUCUCUCUGAACUAAAAUGUUGAUUUCUUUUCUGACAUCACC